rnacentral:misc_RNA from 1 species
CAAGAAACUUCCUAAUUUAAUUAGGAUAUAAUUAAUUAUUCCAGACAAGUAUUAUUGCCCAAAAAGCGAUCAGAUGGAAUUCUCCUGACUUUCACUUCCUAAGAAGAAAGUAAGCUUUUGAUUGCCAUUUCAAUGGUGGGAUUGGUAAGACUAUAACCUCCAUCAACCAACAGAUUCAGCCCACUCACAUACUUGGACUCAUCACUUACCAAAUACAAAGCUGCCUCUGCUAUAUCUUCUGCUUGCAACACAGCCUGCUUCAAGUUCCCUGCAGCAGAAACCGCUUCCUGAAUCUUCUCAUUCUCCAUCCCCAUUGCCCCAAUACCAUCCUUUAGCAGUGGGGUUACAACUGCAUAUGGCGAGACACAAUUGACCCUAAUCCCAUAUUGGCCCAACUCCACACUAAGAUUCUUGGCCAAACCAACCACAGCAUGCUUUGAUGUAACAUACGCAUGCAUACCCUGAAAGCAAGUCACUGAAAGAUUGCUUGCAGUGAAGAGAAUAGAGCCUUUCUUGGCAGGAAUCAUGACCCUGGCAGCGUGUUUGGCUGCCAAGAAACCACCAAACACAUUGACAUCGAAAACCCUUUUGAAUUCUUCAUUGUCUGUGCCUAAAAUGCC